AAAAUUGUAUAAAUAAUAAACCUGAGUAGUAUUAGUUAAGGGCUUGAAACUCAAAAAAUUUGGCGGUAUUUUAGUCUAUUUAGAGGAACCUGUAGUAUAAUCGAUAUCCCACGAUGGACCUCACUUAAUUUUGUUUUUCAGUUUGUAUACCGCUGUUAUUUGAAAAUUUUAUAAGAAUAUUAAUUUUCAUAAUUUUAAAUUAAAAAGUAAAUCAGGUCAAGGUGCAGCUUAUGAUUAAGAAUUUAUGGGUUACAAUAAAGUUAUUUAUAUGAAUUAGAAUGUGAAAUUAUUUUAUGAAAGUGGAUUUAAUAGUAAAUUUUUAAAGAUAAAAAAAUUGAUU
rnacentral:rRNA from 1 species